AAAGUGGAGCAAUCCAUGAGUAGAGUGGCGAACGGGUGAGUAACACGUGGGUGACCUGCCUUCGAGUGGGGGAUAACAUCCCGAAAGGGGUGCUAAUACCGCAUGACAUCCUGCCUUUGAACAGGCGGACAUUAAAGCCGGGGAUCGCAAGACCUGGCGCUCGAAGAGGGGCCCGCGCCCGAUUAGCUAGUUGGUGAGGUAACGGCCCACCAAGGCUACGAUCGGUAUCCGGCCUGAGAGGGCGGACGGACACACUGGGACUGAGACACGGCCCAGACUCCUACGGGAGGCAGCAGUGGGGAAUUGUUCGCAAUGGGCGAAAGCCUGACGACGCAACGCCGCGUGGAGGAUGAAGAUCUUCGGGUCGUAAACUCCUUUCGAUCGGGACGAAUGAUCGGUGACCUAAUACGUCAUCGGAAUGACGGUACCGAGAGAAGAAGCCCCGGCUAACUCCGUGCCAGCAGCCGCGGUAAUACGGGGGGGGCAAGCGUUGUUCGGAAUUACUGGGCGUAAAGGGCGCGUAGGCGGCCUUCUAAGUCGGACGUGAAAUCCCUCGGCUUAACCGAGGAACUGCGUCCGAUACUGAAAGGCUUGAAUCCGGGAGAGGGAUGUGGAAUUCCAGGUGUAGCGGUGAAAUGCGUAGAUAUCUGGAGGAACACCGGUGGCGAAGGCGGCAUCCUGGACCGGUAUUGACGCUGAGGCGCGAAAGCUAGGGGAGCAAACGGGAUUAGAUACCCCGGUAGUCCUAGCCCUAAACGAUGAGUGCUUGGUGUGGCGGGUAUCGAUCCCUGCCGUGCCGAAGCUAACGCAUUAAG
rnacentral:rRNA from 1 species